UACGGGGGGGGCAAGCGUUUGUUCGGAAUUACUGGGGCGUAAAGGGCUCGUAGGCGGCCAACUAAGUCGGGAUGUGAAAAUCCCCCAGGCUUAACCCUGGGGAACUGCAUCCCGAUACUGGAUGGCUUGAAUCCGGGGAGAGGGAUGCAGAAUCCAGGUGUAGCGGUGAAAUGCGUAGAUAUCUGGAGGAAUACCGGUGGCGAAGGCGGAUCCUGGACCGGCAUCGACGCUGAUGCGCGAAAGCGUGGGGAGCA
rnacentral:rRNA from 1 species